rnacentral:rRNA from 1 species
GACGAACGCUGGCGGCGUGCUUAACACAUGCAAGUCGAACGGAAAGGCCCUGCGUUUGUGGGGUGCUCGAGUGGCGAACGGGUGAGUAACACGUGAGUGACCUGCCCUUGACUUUGGGAUAACUUCAGGAUACUGGGGAUAAUACCGGAUAGGAGCUCCUGCUUCAUGGUGGGGGUUGGAAAGUUUCGGUGGUUGGGGAUGGACUCGGGGCUUAUCCGCUUGUUGGGGGGGUAGCGGCUUACCAAGGCUUUGACGGGUAGCCGGCCUGAGAGGGGGACCGGCCACGUUAGGACUGAGAUGAGGCCCAGACUCCUACGGGAGGCAGCGGUGGAGAAUAUUGCACAAUGGGCGGGAGCCUGAUGCAGCACAGCCGCGUGCGGGAUGACGGCCUGCGGGUUGUAUACCGCUUUCGCCUGUGACGAAGCGUGAGUGACGGUAAUGGGUAAAGAAGCACCGGCUAACUACGUG